rnacentral:rRNA from 1 species
UACGUAGGGGGCGAGCGUUGUCCGGAUUUAUUGGGCGUAAAGGGCGCGUAGGCGGCUUGUUAAGUCUGGUGUGAAAGCCCGAGGCUCAACCUCGGUAAGCACUGGAAACUGGCAAGCUUGAGUACUGGAGAGGGUCGUGGAAUUCCCAGUGUAGCAGUGAAAUGCGUAGAGAUUGGGAGGAACACCAGUGGCGAAGGCGGCGACCUGGACAGAUACUGACGCUGAGGCGCGAAAGCUGGGGGAGCAAACGGG